AUUGAACGCUGGCGGCAUGCCUUACACAUGCAAGUCGAGCGGUAACAGGUCUUCGGAUGCUGACGAGUGGCGAACGGGUGAGUAAUACAUCGGAACGUGCCCGAUCGUGGGGGAUAACGGAGCGAAAGCUUUGCUAAUACCGCAUGCGAUCUACGGAUGAAAGCAGGGGACCGCAAGGCCUUGCGCGGACGGAGCGGCCGAUGGCAGAUUAGGUAGUUGGUGGGAUAAAAGCUUACCAAGCCGACGAUCUGUAGCUGGUCUGAGAGGACGACCGGCCACACUGGGACUGAGACACGGCCCAGACUCCUACGGGAGGCAGCAGUGGGGAAUUUUGGACAAUGGGCGAAAGCCUGAUCCAGCCAUGCUGCGUGCAGGAUGAAGGCCUUCGGGUUGUAAACUGCUUUUGUACGGAACGAAAAGACUCCUUCUAAUAAAGGGGGUCCAUGACGGUACCGUAAGAAUAAGCACCGGCUAACUACGUGCCAGCAGCCGCGGUAAAAC
rnacentral:rRNA from 1 species